rnacentral:lncRNA from 1 species
GUUUUGGUGAUAGCUUUAUAUUCAUUUCUCUCUGCUUGUGGAGAAGGAAGCUUCUAUGGGGCUUUGUUUUAGAGCAACAAACCUGAACAGAUAUUAAUUUGUCUGUUGAGGACGGUCCAGUCAGAAGGAGUCAAAUUCAAGUUGGUAUUCUUCAGUGACCUGCAGGAACAUUAAACAUCUACCAGGCAGUCAGAGAGCAGUGUUCAGCUGCCCAGCAGUACAGCACCACAUUGACUACCCAGCCACUAUCCUCAGAGAUCUCUGAAGCAUUGGGCAGCUCUUUCAGCUCUCAGGAGAGUACAGUUUGACAAGGUGCUGGAGCUCUGUGGCAUAGCCUGUAAUUGGGCAGCGCUGGUAACAACUGAACGGAAUGGAGGUUGGAAUGUAAAAAAAGAAGCAAAACAAUCAAUUUUAUUACCACUAAAUCCUGUGAAGCUAACCCCUGCUACCUGUAUCCACAUUUUCAUCACUUAUAUUCCUUCUGGAGCAUGUUUUGAGAGAAGGAAACUUAAUCUUGAAGAUUAAUAACACUCAGGAACGCAGCUGCUGACAUACCUGUGUGUUUGACUUGAGGCUGCUACAGCCAGUUUCUUCUCCAGGGCCUGGAUAUCCUCUGCAGUCAGUCUCACCAGGCGAACGCCAGCCAGCCGCAGCAAGGGGGAAUGAUGCUGAGCCUUCCCGAGGAUGUAGCACAAUUGCUGGAUCAGAAACCAGCCCUCCCAGGCCAUGUUUAUAAAGGGGUAGGCAGCUAGAAAGGCUCGGUAAAAACGCUUCCAGGAGGAUGAUGGAGGAUGGAUGGAGUACUCAUCCUCUUCCCUAAGGCUGGACACGAGCUUCUCUAGCUUUCCUUUUAGGUAAGGAACAAGAAUCAGCAGCAGGAGAGACUUCCAGUGCUGCUUCUUUGGCAGGCCAGCAGUGGCCAAAGGUUGCUGUUUGCAAUCUCCUGUCGGUAUCCUCUUUAAGCUAUAAAAGUUCUCAGAAAAGGAGGCGCUGCACCUGGCCAGGUAGUGCUGCUGGAGCAGAAAAUCCA